rnacentral:rRNA from 1 species
UACGGAGGAUCCAAGCGUUAUCCGGAUUCAUUGGGUUUAAAGGGUGCGUAGGCGGAAUUGUAAGUCAGUGGUGAAAUCUCUUCGCUUAACGAAGAAACUGCCAUUGAUACUGCAAAUCUUGAGUACAUUUGAUGUGGGCGGAAUGUGUCAUGUAGCGGUGAAAUGCUUAGAUAUGACAUAGAACACCAAUUGCGAAGGCAGCUCGCUACACGAAUAUUGACUCUGAGGCACGAAAGCGUGGGGAUCAAACAGG